ACCUCCUUUUAAAGGAUUAGCAAAGCUAUAUGUUUUGCAAGGUCAGUAUUAAUUCAUUACUUAUUUCCUUCUCAUCAAUAUAUAUUUAUUUCGAAAGUUAUAGAUACUUAUUGAUCUUUUACAAUUACAUAACAGGAUCAGAUAGAAGACGAGAAUAGUACAAACGAAUAUUUUUUUAUUAAAAUGUUCGUCCAUAAAUCAAAUUAAAAAAUUAAAUAAAAGUUAUUAAGGGCAUCUGGUGGAUACCUUGGCAGUAAGAGGCAAUGAAAGACGUGGUUAAACUGCGAUAAGCUUCGGGGAGCAGUUAAGCUAGCUUUGAUCCGGAGAUUUCCGAAUGGA
rnacentral:misc_RNA from 1 species